GGGACAGCAUACAGGUAGUAGGGACAACAUACAGGUUGGGGAACAGCGUACAGGUAGUAGGGACAACAUACAGGUUGGGGGACAGCAUACAGGUAGUAGGGACAAGCUACAGGUAGUAAGGACAACAUACAUGUUUGGGGACAGCAUACAGUUUGGAGGACAGCAUACAGGUAGUAGGGACAACAUACAGGUUUCGGGACAGCAUGCAGAUAGUAGGGACAACAUACAGGUAGUGGGGAAAACAUAGAGACAA